UACGAGGGGGGCGAGCGUUGUUCGGAAUUAUUGGGCGUAAAGGGUGCGUAGGCGGCCCUAUAAGUCAGUGGUGAAAUAUCGCAGCUUAACUGUGAGGGUGCCAUUGAUACUGUAGGGCUUGAGUGAAUUUGAGGUAGGCGGAAUUGACGGUGUAGCGGUGAAAUGCUUAGAUAUCGUCAAGAACACCGAUAGUGAAGACAGCUUACCAAGCUUCAACUGACGCUGAGGCACGAAAGUGUGGGGAUCAAGCAGG
rnacentral:rRNA from 1 species